rnacentral:rRNA from 1 species
UACAGAGGUCUCAAGCGUUGUUCGGAUUCAUUGGGCGUAAAGGGUGCGUAGGCGGCGCGGUAAGUCGGGUGUGAAAUCUCGGAGCUUAACUCCGAAACUGCAUUCGAUACUGCCGUGCUUGAGGGACUGGAGAGGAGACUGGAAUUUACGGUGUAGCGGUGAAAUGCGUAGAUAUCGUAAGGAAGACCAGUGGCGAAGGCGGGUCUCUGGACAGUUCCUGACGCUGAGGCACGAAGGUCAGGGGAGCAAACGGG